AUACGGUUUAGUGGGUACCCCAGCAAUGGCUUGUAACCUUUGCUUGCAUAUUUACUGUUACCGGGUUUGCUAGUCUGGUGUGCUGUCCUCGGUUGAGACCUCGGUCGUGUCCUCACCCUGUGCUCACCCCGGCCUCAAUAUUCUGUCCUCACUCUCUCUCAGGCCGGGCCUAGCCGCCGGGAUGCUCAACAAUCUAAGCAUCAUUGGAUCCAACUCCGGACACAAGGACUGCGAGGACCUGAAAAGGAGCAACCACCACCACCACAGCGGACACCAUGGCAUGGACAUCAAGUCCGGGGGUGUGGAUCACACGGUUCACGGCAUUCACCAGCACCCCCCGACUCGGCUGGUUGGAGGCUUCGACCCUCAGGCUCUUCAGCCGCCUCCGGGUGUGGAUGACGGUAAGCCCUCCAAGCAGAAGAGGCACCGCACGAGGUUCACACCGGCACAGCUGAACGAGUUGGAGCGAUGCUUCUCCAAGACUCACUACCCCGACAUCUUCAUGAGAGAGGAGAUCGCAAUGAGGAUCGGCCUCACGGAGUCCAGGGUUCAGGUCUGGUUUCAAAACCGACGGGCCAAGUGGAAAAAGCGCAAGAAGACCACGAACGUAUUUCGAACUCCUGGUGCCCUCCUGCCCUCCCAUGGUCUGCCGCCCUUCGGGUCCAUGUCGGACGGGCUCUGCCCCUCUGGCAUGUUCGGCGGUUCGGACACCCGCUGGGGCGUCACCUCCAUGACUUCUGGUCUAAGUCAGCUGAGUCAAGGUGGAGUGUCGAUGGGAGGAUUCAGUCAGCUCUCCUCACAACAUAGUUCAGCACUGAGCUCAGCACUCCCCAUCAAUUCGUCCAUGGCCAGUAAUCUAUCAUAAUCUAUCAACCGUAUCAUAUUAUUGUAUGUGUAGGUCUAAGUCAGCUGAGUCAAGGUGGAGUGUCGAUGGGAGGAUUCAGUCAGCUCUCCUCACAACAUAGUUCAGCACUGAGCUCAGCACUUCCCAUCAGCUCGUCCAUGGCCACGAACGGAUCAACCGUUUACCAGGCUCACUAUGGGCUCAACACACUUGACCCGGUGUUCUACGGGCACGACGCGGGUGGAGACUCUCUCAACUGAUACUUGAAGUGGCCGUGAACAAGUGUCAGCAUGUUACUCUGGAAGAAUCUCCGGAGAGUGGCAGCGUUGCAGCAGGAACAGAGAAAACAUAACCUCAAAUAAUUGAGUGUCCUAUCGUUUUGUUAAACAUUAAAGGGGUAACCUAAGUUUUUUCGUGCAGCUUGGCCCUAGUACAUUGGAUUACUGGAGCAGAAUUGUCUUAGCAAAACUGUUUGUUCAGCGAAAACAGGUUCAUUACAGAAGUCUAAGCUGUUCUUUUUUUCUCGAUUGGGUUAAACUAGCUGUUUGUCCUUAGUCUAAAGUGAAGUUUUUAUUUUCAAAAAUUCUAAUCAAUCUAAAUUUAGGAUUUUAUUUGUACAUUUGGGACGUUACAACUAUUAACGUUGCACUGUGGUAAAGAUGCGUGUGUAUGUAAAAUAUUCAUAGCUGUCGUGAUAUAAUUCCAUUGGUUAUAACUUUUGGUUCAAAUUGGAAUAGAGUAUCACGGUUCAGGUGCUUUUUUAUGUCAGUCUCAAACUCUAAAAUGGAACAUGCUUUAAAAAAAUUGCUGUCUUCAGAUCUUAAUCAAACCAAUCCUUCAAAAUAAAAUGUUACAUUUUGCCUAUGUUUUCUCUGAUUACUUUCUAACAGAUUGCACCUAUUUUCACAUAUCCUUAGGUUUAUAUUUAUUGUUAUUGCAACAACAGGUCUGUUUUGACGAUAAACAAUGCAAUUAUAACAUAAAAGAAUAAUUAAUUGAUUAAGAACUUAACAAAAAACCUUAAUCUUGAAGUGGCUUCUCGAUUGAUUAAAAAGUAUAUCCAACGUCUCAAAUAAAAAUUGCCGAUUUCUUAUCUCAUAGAUGUAAUGCGUCUUGGGGCCAUGAAGGUAAAAAAGAAAAACAGGUAAUUUUGAUAUUGAUUCAGUUUCUUAGUGGAUGAUCAAAUUAAAUAGUUUCUCUUACCAAGCUCGAUAUUUAUUCAGCUUUCAUUAUUCAAAAUUCAAUGUCAUUUCUAUAUAUUUUUUCUCAUAUUUUUACAUGCUAAGAAAUUAUUAGUUGAUCAUAGCCUGAAAUAUUACUAGACUCUAAAUACAUUUGAAAAUAACAUUUUGAAUGUUUCUGCUGCAAUAAAAUAUGUCAGAAAGCCAAACAGUCUACCAAAUCUAGACAAACUGUUUCUAUAUCUAUAUGUUGUACAGCUCUUAAACACCUUUAGGAGUGUGCUUGAAUUGAUAUUAAACCUUAAUAUACUUCACUUAUCUGUUUUAUAUGUUAAAUGGUCUGUCAACAAAACUAACAGAUAUUUGUCCUGAUUCCUUUUAUUUGAACUAAUUUUGUAUCAUAAUUGUUGGCAUAUUUGUAAGGUAUGAUUUGAAACAGUUCAAUCUUAGUGCUAUUUCAAUAUUUUACUACUGUAAACCUAAACUAUAGGCUACUUUUACGUAAAAUGUAAGUAAAACAUUUUCAGACUAACUCCUAGCAUGAUGAAGCUCAUCAAUAUCAUGUACAAAUCAAUAAUGUUCUUAGUACCUUAAGGACAUCAUCAACACCAUUGACAAGAUUCGUUGAUUCAAGCAAGCUCCAGCCCACUUCAUUGCUGUCAAGUUGGUAGAAAUUGUAAAUAGACUCUUUGGGGAUAUUUUUAAUAAACAUAAAUAGUUCUAGAACAGAUUUAAGUCAUCCCAUGAAAUGUAUUUAUCUAUGUUUUUAAGCGGAUUGUAGAAAUAAAUGUAAAGACAACAUGUUAAAUGUAUACAUACAGUGUCCUGUAACAGGGAAGACAUUUUUUAUAUUUUGUUUAGUUUGUAAGUAAUUGUAAAUUCAACAAUGUGAAGCGUUUAAUCUGUUAUUGUUUAUCAUGUGCAAUAAAGUGUGUUUGUCUAA